UUAGUCAUGCAUGUGUGUAAAAAUAAUUUAAAGCAAGUUUUUGCUAGAAGAUACAAUAUGAAUUUCUUACAAUUUGCUUUCUUCCAUUAAUUGUGUUUCUAGAUCUUUUUGCUCCUAUAAAUAAUGUGAGUUUGAAGGGGAAAAAAAUCUCUAAUGCCCGCAUUUGGAGGAAUAUUAAUUCCCUUCUUAGAACCAUAGCAUAUAAUGACAUUGAAAGGACCGUAAGAUUUUUUUUUUUAUUUCUCACGUAGCACUGCCCGCCCGGUUGAUUUGCAUCAAUUGAAUUUAGUUUUGGCGCUCCAGAGUAACUCCAAUCAGCACGUUUCUUUCCUGAUCUGGUAUUGAUGCGUGUUUCCCCCUAUAUGUGGCACGUAUUACGUAUCCGCUGUGUAAAACCGGACGACAUUCCAUUCGAUUAAAACUUGACAGCAAGGCAAUAAGACGUAAAUCCAUUGUGUCUAGCUAGCGCGGCAAAACAUUUCGACACCAAUAUAUAAGCACUCUAUCGCCCCCAAUCUCAGAAGCACAUCCCAUCGCCAAUUCCAUUGCCUGAGAGCUCAAGGAUUCCAUUCUGCACGUGCUCAACACAUCAUUGGCAGCCCUAGAUCACAAUUUCAUUGAUCAUAUAAUUCCAUUACGCAAGACUCCAAUGGCCGGCUGGUCUUCACUCCCCAACGACCUCGUCAACG
rnacentral:lncRNA from 1 species